UUCAAUAGCUAGGCUAUCCAUAUUACAGGAGCUUCAUCUUAUUCUUUCUAUUUCCAUUGUGAAUUCGCGGAAACUUUGGAGACAACAAUAGGUGGCAAAGUCAAAUAUACUGGUUUCCUUCUGUGUCAAAGUUUUCCCUAAUUGCUUAUGACAAAUCCAGCUCUUGAACCAGCCAUUGACAGCCCGCUGGCUAAUCUUUUGAAUAUGGUGUAGCAACAAAAGAUAGCUUUAGCUAGAUAAGGUUAGCAUGCUAGCUAGCUACUCUGACCGCUAUCGGUUCCUUACUCGUUGUUAUUUCUCGACUCCACGUGGAAAUCACCACAAUGUUCCCACGCCAAAUUCCUGAGUACGUAUUAGCCGCCUGUGGUAUUCUUCCGAGGUGGAAACUAAAGGAGGUUUUCCAAUAUAGGACAGGAAUUAGGUAGAAAUAGUGGCGGCCUUGCCAUCUGCUGGGGGCCUUUAGAGCUACAUUACUACAAUUCUACACAUAAAGGCCAUGACUUAUGCCAUGUUAAUAAGAUAUCUGAGUGAGAAUGACUAACAGCAUCAAUGGGGGCCCCUGGGCAUUUACUCUGCGUGCCCGGUCAAUAUUCGGCCAUGACUGCUACAAGUUUACAUAGCUGGCUAGGUUAACUACCAAUCUAGUUUACAUAGCUGGCUAGGUUAACUACCAAUCUAGUUUACAUAGCUGGCUAGGUUAACUACCAAUCUAGUUUACAUAGCUGGCUAGGUUAACUACCAAUCUAGUUUACAUAGCUGGCUAGGUUAACUACCAAUCUAGUUUACAUAGCUGGCUAGGUUAACUACCAAUCUAGUUUUGAUAGCUGGCGAGACUAACAGCCAAUCUAGUUCUGAAACUUGCCCAUGAGUGCCCUCUUAGGGUGAAGGAGUCAGAGAUUACAGGGUAAGAGCUGUCCGGCAUAUCUCUCAUGCUGAGGCUGAGGAAAAGAGUGAAAGAAAGUGAGAGGUGGUCGGUCAGGAUGGUGGAGGCUGCAGUCUAGUGCUGUGGGUUUGUCAGGUGCAGGAUCCAGAAACCCUCAGAGUCGUAUUGGACUUUUUGGGGUAUUUAUUCCUAUGGUUAUAAACUACACUGCCCGAGUGGAUAAGAAUUCAAGAAAGACUGAUAUCAUAAUAUCUGCACAUGAACGCUUCUUGGGAUUGAAGGAUGUUACAGGUGAGGAGC
rnacentral:lncRNA from 1 species